GGCGCGGGCGCGAGCUCCUCGGGGCGGCCCUGGCCGCGGCCUCCUGGAGGGUCCCACCCACGCGACCCUCCGGCCUCGCUGCUAACUAUUGCACAGCUGACUGGAGAUGCCCUCAAGUAAUGAAAACUAAAGGUGUUGAAAU